GCACCGAUGGUGUAUGGUACACCCGCCGACAGAAUGGGGUAUAAGUGAGCAGUCAUUACAGUGGCGGACUGGGGUUCGAUUCCCCGUCGGUGCG